AGGACGCGGCUGCAGGGGCAGGGCUGGAGGAGGGGGUCCGGACACGCUCAGAGGCUGGCUGCAAGAGACCCGACUGCCUUGGAGAGCCGGAGCGGCUGCCGGGCGGAGCUGACAGCAGACCCCCUAGUGCCGGAGCCCUGCGCUUUCGGGUCCCCUGCUCCUCACACCGACCUCGCGCUCAAGGUCUGGUUUCACCGGAGGUCUUCUCUCUCAAAUAUUUCCAAUCUCCUUCUCUAUGGACUCCUUCCCAUUAGCAUGUGUCAUGUCUAGAAAUUACCUCCAACUUACACUGUGAAGUCUGGGGCACUGUAUCGCCUGGAUCAGAUGAG